CCCGAGCAGAACACUAUCCGGGGUACGCAUAUCCUUACUUUACCAAGUCGGAUUUGCAACGGAUAAGCAAUUCCAAAUCUUACCACUCUCUUCCCGGUUCACUGUGUUGUUACCCAGAAAGGUCUUGCAAUGGAAGCUCUGGGACUUCCCUCUCUCAAUUCUCUUACCAUUUCUCGCUCUAAUUUUCACGUACAAAAUGUCUUCAAAAUUUCUAAAAGAGUAGCACAGCAUUGGAGUUCUUCGGAGCUAUCUUCUCUGAAACUCAGACCCUUUUAUUACAGUUCUUCAGAGCUAUCUUCUCCGAAACUCAGACCCUCUUGCAGAACCCACCUUUUGCAUUGCAGUACUACUCGAAUGCAAGCUGACGGUGAAGAUUAUGAAUUGAAGCAAAUGAGAGAUAUGGCUGCUGCCAGGAAGAGAUGGGAAGCUCUGGUUAGGGAAGAAAAGGUUAAAGUUCUUAUGCCAAGAGAAGCUGGAUAUGCAAUUCAGCUAUCUAACAAAACCCUACUUGAUGUUCGUCCCUCUACUGAACGCAAAAAGGCGUGGGUUAAAGGCUCAACCUGGAUUCCAAUCUUUGAUGUUGAUACCAAGUUUGAUGUUGGAACUCUGCUCACAAAGAUCACUAAUUUCACGAUGGGGGGUUGGUGGAGUGGUGUGCCUACAUUGUCUUACAAUAACCAGUUCUUAUCAAAAGUUGCGGAGAAUUAUACAAAAGAUACAGACCUUAUUGUUGCAUGCCAGAAGGGGUUGAGAUCUCUAGCUGCUUGUGAGAUACUGUAUAAUGCUGGCUACACAAACCUUUUCUGGAUGCAAGGGGGUCUGGAGGCUGCUGAAGAAGAGGAUCUUGUCACAGAAGGUCCUCAGCCUCUUAAAUUUGCUGGAAUUGGUGGGGUUUCAGAGUUUCUCGGUUUUACUGAUCAACAAAGAGAUGCAGCUUCAAGAGAAGGUUGGGGUUACCGACUAGUGUUCUCUGCGCGUCUGGUUGGGAUCUUUAUUGUUGCUGAUGCCUUGUUUCUUGGUGCUCAGCAAGUUGGCCAUUAUCUUCAGGAUAUAAGGUCUCACUGAGGUUCAGAGCUCUGGGCUUGAAUGUAUUUGAUACAAAUAUUUGCGAAAACGUUUGCAAUUCUGGAGCAGUAUAUGAAGAUGAGAUUUGCCAACGGUCACAAUUUUUUCUUGCCAGAGUACUUUGAGAAGCCAAUUGCAUACAUGCUUUUUGAUGGUUCUUGGAAACUUGUUGUCCAUUAAAGUCUAUACUUUACUCAUACAUUUAUUUCUGUACCAUUAGUAGAAGAUGAGAUGAGGGUGAAGAGGUUAUCUAUAAUGAGUUUAGUAUCAUUAGGAAAAUCAAACAUUGACAUUUUUCAGUGUAAUGUAAAUGAGCUCUAGUGAGAGCAGUAAGAUUUUUUGUUUUGUUUGUUUU